ensembl:lncRNA
CAUGAUUCAGACUACGGCGUUUAUAUGUUCAACAAUAGGAAACGUUGUUUUAGCUGUUUUAAAAUUACACCAAGUUUAUUUCGGAUUAUUCCAACGGAAUUAUACAAGGCGCAGGGAACUUUGAGCUGCGUAAACGCCACUUGCAGGUGCGUAAACGCUAUUUAUAGGUGCGUAAACGCUAUUUAUAGAAUGAUGAAAAGGCACCCAGCCCUUUCUCAUCUCCAGGCUUUCCCAAUUAAUUAAAAAUGCUUUGCAUUGGAGAAUGGAUUACUGAAAAGGACACCAGCGCCUGGCGCUCAGCCCGCACAACCCGGAAGCCCGAGAUCGCGGUGCUCCUCGCCUCGGACAGCGACAGAGGCGGAGUGGUUUGGGCUGACUGCAGCGUGGCUACCCGGACGACGGUUGGGCUGUUGACUGGGUCCCUCACUUGCUCCUCACAUUUUUCAGUUGUGUGUCAGUCAGUAUAUUCUCUUAUUUUAUUCAUUUUUUUGCUUUUGGUUUUUGAUUGAUAUUGUUUGGCGUGUGUGGAGAACUGGAGCCAGUGAGGGUCCUGUCCCAGGCCCGCUACAGCCCAGUUACCCAUAGAACCGGAGUUGUUUAGUAAAAGCUUUUUGUUAUCUUACUAAAUUCCCUGAGCUGAC